rnacentral:rRNA from 1 species
GACGAACGCUGGCGGCGUGCCUAAUACAUGCAAGUAGAACGCUGAAGGAGGAGCUUGCUUCUCCGGAUGAGUUGCGAACGGGUGAGUAACGCGUAGGUAACCUGCCUGGUAGCGGGGGAUAACUAUUGGAAACGAUAGCUAAUACCGCAUAACAGUAGAUGUUGCAUGACAUUUGCUUAAAAGGUGCAAUUGCAUCACUACUAGAUGGACCUGCGUUGUUUUAGCUAGUUGGUGAGGUAACGGCUCAACUAGGGGACGAUACAUAGCCGACCUGAGAGGGUGGACGGCCACACUGGGACUGAGACACGGCCCAGACUCCUACGGGAGGCAGCAGUAGGGAAUCUUCGGCAAUGGACGGAAGUCUUACCGAGCAACGCCGCGGUAGUGAAGAAGGUUGUCGGAUCGUAAAGCUCUGUUGUAAGAGAAGAACGAGUGUUAGGGUGGAAAGUUCACACUGUGACGGUAUCUUAACAGAAAGGGACGGCUAACUACGUG